UACGUAGGGGGCUAGCGUUGUCCGGAAUCAUUGGGCGUAAAGCGCGCGUAGGCGGCCAGGUAAGUCCGGUGUGAAAGUCAAAGGCUCAACCUUUGAAUGCCGCUGGAAACUGUCUGGCUUGAGUCCGGAAGGGGCGAGUGGAAUUCCCGGUGUAGCGGUGAAAUGCGCAGAUAUCGGGAGGAACACCGGUGGCGAAGGCGGUUCUCUGGGCCUUACCUGACGCUGAGGAGCGGAAGCGUGGGGAGCGAACAGG
rnacentral:rRNA from 1 species